rnacentral:tRNA from 1 species
GGGCCUGUAGCUCAGUGGGAGAGCGCUGCAAUCGCACUGCAGAGGUCGUGGGUUCGAAUCCCAUCAGGUCCACCA